CGUAACAAGGUUUCCGUAGGUGAACCUGCGGAAGGAUCAUUACCGAAAGCGGGUUCGUUCAAACCCCCCCGCUCUACAAAUUGUCUGACACUCGCCCCCAGGAGAUGUGGGGGCGUUUGUUUACCCCGAGAAAGGAUUCGUUUAUGCGAAGUUGGGCGAGGGGCGCCUCGCCGAGGGUGAAAGCUCUCGAACCAAAGCGCACCCCACACACUUAAACCCCAUCAAACUCUGAAUCUGAACUCAAAGGGGGGCACGCAGCGCUCUUUGCCGCGGCGGCUCCCCCAACCUUUUAACGUUGUAAAACUUUCAGCGACGGAUGUCUUGGCUCCCACAACGAUGAAGAACGCAGCGAAAUGCGAUACGUCUUGCGACUUGCAGAAUCCAGUGAAUCAUCAAAACUUUGAACGCAUCUUGCGCUUCCGGGAUACUCCUGGGAGCAUGCUUGUCGGAGUGUCUGUUGACACCACUCGCCCCCUCUCCCUCCCCCGUCGUCGUCAGAUGAAAGGGGUGGGAGGGCGGGGCGGACUCUGAGUGCUCCGGAGUUCCCAUGCUCCGAGUGCACCUAAUCUCGUGAACGAAGCCUCUCGCGCCCCGCCGCACAGAGUUGUUGACGGCGCUCGCUUCGGCGGCGACUCUCGACUCGCCAAACGUGCGCGCGGGGCUGCGGGCCUCGUUCCGACGCUCCUCGAAGAAGGCCGUCCUUCGUCGAUGGAAGACCGUACCACUUUCGUUCGGACCUCCGAUCAAGCAAGAG
rnacentral:sRNA from 1 species